GGCUUCGUAGAUCAGCUGGUUGAGCAUGCUCUGUAUAAAAACGUAGGCGGCGUCCAUGUGUGGGUUCGAAUCCCACCGAGGCUA
rnacentral:tRNA from 1 species